rnacentral:lncRNA from 1 species
AAAAAUAAAAUAAAAUAAAAAAAUUUAAAAAUUAGCCACGAAUGCAGAUUCAUUUUUCAUCAUUCAUCAUUCACCAUUCGUCCAUACAAAGCGGUAUUUGUAAUAAAAAUGUGAAGGAAAAUCAUGUUCUAAUUAAUAUCUAAUUAAUAUUUAUCCUUUAAUCGACUAAAUAUGUAUUAAAUUGAAACCAUUGGGAUUGUGGUGAUGGUUGCGACGUGGCAACGGGAGGAGUUGGUGAAAUCGAAGCAGGUGGUGAUGUUGAAGUUGAAGAAGGUGUGAAUGUGGUUAACUCUAAAAUUCUGAAGGCUAAGAAAGGUAAGAUGCCGAUGAUUUGUUCGGAAGUUGGAGAUGCAGCUCUUGUGGCUGAAGGAUUGAAUGGUGUUGCUGUUGAUGAAUGCAGUGUGAACGAAGUAAACAUGAUGCUUCGCCGCCAUGAUGAUGUUGCCGGUAACCAUGAUACUUUUUUACUCUUUAGCUGAUUGAUUCUUUAAUGCAUUUAGUGAUAAUCAUAGAAUUAGAAAUCAUAUGUGUUGAUUCUCUUUUAAACACAUUAUCUUGCUCUCUUUUUUUCUCUUUCUUUUGGAAUCAAUUUUCAACUAUCCUUUAAAACUGCAUACUAUGUGUUUGUGAAAUUGUCCCUGUUAAUAAAACUUCAAAGAAAUUGUGUUUUUGAUUGGUUUCAUUUCCUAGGUAUGUUCCUUUUUUCUUUUGGCUUCAAGUUUUUGUCUUUGGUUAUAUAAAUCAUAUGGUAACCUUCUGAUUUUGAUGUUAAUAACAUGCAACAUAAUCAACUUGGUGUAACAUAAUCAAUUUCUAUUUUGUUUAAUAUCAAGUUGUGGCACUUGUAUGCAUUAGGGAAUAAAGAAUUUCACUUUGAACAAAAGUUAAGCUAUUGUUAUUGCUGUGAUUUUUACUUCAUCUUUCAUGGUUGUACUGGAAGGCUUGUUGCAUAUGAAUGAUUAGUUCAUAUAUAUAUAUGUGAAUAAAUAAAGAAGCUUACAAAACAAUUGGGCUCCACACUAUUUCCGGAUGUUUUAUUUUAACCUUUUGCCCAUCCUCUCUCUCUUUACUCUCAAAGCUGCAAAUUAGAUCAAUAUCACUUUACUACAUGUUGCAGCAUACAUAUACCCAUAAAUCUUUUCAAUAUCCUGAUCUUGCUUUAUUUAUAUAUAUAUAUAUAUAUAUAAUAUUAAUAUCUCUCAAAAGCUAAUCAUUAUCUUUGAAUUUUCCAAGCAAAUGGUGGUAUAUGUUCAAUCUAUCAACAGAUACCCACUAUUAUACAAUGCUAAAAGGAAUCAUUAUAUCAUAUGUGUAUAUAUAUGCAUUACCCCUGCACUCAAAAGUUGAUCACGUACUUAUAUUUUCAGUUCCAAUUAAUUAAUUAAUUACAUGCAAUUAUAUUUCUAAAAGUUGAUCAUUUUUUGAUAAACAAAGUUCAUGCAUUGUCAUAGAAUUGUUGGUGAAUUGGUUCGUCAUACUUAAUUGGAGAUAUACAAAAAAUCCUGAUGGUUGAGAUGUUUAGUGC